CGGGCCGGGAGGACAGACUAGCCCCUGCUGCUCGCGUGCAUUAGCAGAAGGCGCGCUUGUUAAGGGUCCUCCACCCUUACAACGCAGACCCUGCUGAAAUGCAACAGGGUCCCACCUCCGCGAAAACCUUGCCUCCUUUUCUCAAAGGAUCAAACACAGUUAACAAUGGUUAUGUUACUCGUAUGUUACUCGUUACAGUAUGUUACUCGUUGCUGGAAGAAUUUUCAAUGAGUAAAUCUUAUGCACUACAAAAUGGAUGAACUGUAAAAUAAUUAACCACGGGAUUCCUCCAUGUGCGUGACCGGACGGGCUAAAGGAGAUGCGGCGGGCCAUCACGCUGUGAAGGGAACUGGGGACGCCCACCCUUGGAGCUUGGUUUUCCUUGAUCCGGAACUGCUGUUCUCACAGCUUGGUCUGGGAACCCUCGGGAAUCUCUGAGAUCCUUGCAAAGGGAAACCCACCUUUGUAAUAACAGACGGUCCUUGCCCUUUUCACUGCCAUUUCUUAUACGUGGAAGAUGGCAUUUCCCUGGUGCAGAAGCAGAUGAGAGAAUCCAGCUGUUUUUGUUGUUGUUGUUUACUAAAUCAGUAUCACGGAGAUUUGCAAAAACAUACAAUAAAGCUGCUCUUUCACUAA